rnacentral:ncRNA from 2 species
CUCUUAUCUAGAGUGGCAGAGGGAAUAGGCCCUGCGAAGCCCGGCAACCUUUCAUAGGAACGAUGUUGAAAAAGGUGCUAAAUCCUACAGAUUCUAAAAAAAUCUGGAAGAUAAGAG